ensembl:lncRNA novel transcript
GCUCUAGCGGAGGCGAAGAGUCGCGAACGCGCGGGACUUCCUUUCCCUGCCCAACGUUUUACUAUUAAAUAGAUGGUUUCGUGUGUUUAUAUAAAAGCUCACUUCAAAAUAAAAGAAAUGAUAGCAAGUGUUUUCUACCCUGUUGAGUCUGUAAGGCGCACAUGUAAUUUUGUCUUUUUCUUCGACUGAAAUGACACAGCGGGGAGAGAGAACCCAAGUACAGCCCUCUGUUCCGGGUGCUUUUAAACCAGUGGCUUCCAACGUUUCUGAAGCAGGAAAUCUCUGUCACCAUCUUCCUAAUGAAACAUAUGCCAUUUAUUAAUUUUUUAGUCAAUGGGGAAAAAGCGCGGUUAAUAAGACAUAUCGUAAAAGGUUAAAAAACAUUUGUAGUGCAAAAUAAAGUUUAGGAAAAAUGGGUUUAGCCCUGUUGCAGAAGAUCUCUCAGGAUUCAGGUCCUAAAGUGACAAUCUAU